GGUGGGAGGCCAGAUCUUGGGCUGUGUCCCCAGUGCCCUGUGCUACCGGGCUUGCGCUGUUGGAUUCGCACUUCCAGCCGGGCAGCUCCCU
rnacentral:pre_miRNA from 1 species